GCAGGAGAAGGGAUGACAUUUUGUCGGCCUCGCCUCCCUGGAGAUUAAAAACCAAGCACCAGAGGAAGGCCAGGCAGCUGACAAAUAGGCUCUUCCCCUGCUGAGGAAAGGAAAACACAAGGCCCAUGGAAAGCUUUCCUCUUCACAAGCUGGAUGUAAAAGAUCCUGCAGAAGGCUCUGAGAUCUUAGAGUUGAUGGAAAGGAGCAGAAGGCCACCUGCUAAACACCCUCUUAGAACUAUUAUGGUUUCAAAUGAACAUCGUGACCAACCUGUAGAUGGAGAAGGAAGCCACUGAUCGAAUCAGGGAUGCCACAGCCCCCACUUUGGCAGCUUCCACUGACCCCUGGACUCGGUACUGCACUGUCUUCGAGUAGUUGACA